UCGAUGCAGGUUCUUAGAUACCAAGUCCCACGUUUAGAAGACAGCAAAACAAGUUCACAAUGGAGACAUGGCAUCAAACAGAAUCUAGGUGAUGAUGAAAGUCAUUAGGAGACAUUCGUUGAGGCCUGUACCCAGUUUGAUUAAGGGAAUCAACGAGGACAGGUCAGCAGUGUCCUAAAAUCUUUCUACGUGGCUGUAUGCUAGGGUCUUUAAUUUUUCAUAUCCACGUCCGUUUUCUUGGAAAUCCAGAUCAAGAAUUGGAAACUUUUAAGAAAAUUCAACCAUGGAACUAAACUUUCCGGGGAAAUUAAUACACUGUAAAUAGAACAACAAUUUUCUACUUACUUUUAACGUGGCAAUCCUGCACACUUCGAUGUAAUUGUUUCCAGAACAUUCCAAUGAAAUGUCAUGGAUACGAGACCUGUCACGGUGUC